GCCAAGGUGUGUAUGCCACUACUGCACCCAUAGGGUAAUCAUGCCACACUGGUCAUAGUUGCACUUGAUCAUUUUGCAAGAGAAAAGAUGGUAAGAGCCAAAGGAAGAGAGAGCUGCGCGUGAGACUCCUAAAAUUGUCUGAGAAGUAUACCUCUGCCGCCUCCUCAGCGUACCUCUGCCGCCUCCUCAGCGUACCUCUGCCGCCUCCUCAGCGUACCUCUGCCGCCUCCUCAGCGUACCUCUGCUGCCUCCUCAGCGUACCUCUGCCGCCUCAGCGUGGCUGCCUAGGCAAGACUACACAAGGAGGACACCGUAAACAUAACACUGUCAAGUGAGGAAGCACACCAUGCGGCAACCUUGACAAAGAACUACAAACAGCUAAGAAAUGCUGAGACCAGGAGAGGAUCUUCCCAGGGACAACCACAUCAAGUCAUUAUCAAAUAUCAAAUGCUUAGUCCUGAAAUAUAUAUGUAUAUAUAUAAGUAGUA